UUGUGCGCGACCGCGGCGCCGUCAAUGCCGACUCCUCAGCUUUGUGCUUCCCUUUCAGCUUGUACCAAGCAUCUGUUGCUUCUCUCUUGUACACAGGCAUCUCAUAGAACGUCUCAGCUGCCUUUCUAUCAUCCCUGAGACCAAAUUACCACUGUCAAUUAUACAUGAAAGAAUGCAGACCACUGUGUGAACUUUAGGUGCCAUCUGCUGUAGAGCUUUAGCUACAGAGGAGCACAGUGUAUAAUGGGUGAUUUUCUGGAUCACAAGAAAGGAAUUGGUGACCCCUGAGUCAGAGACUGCACUUGCCAAAGCAUCAGCUGAAGUGAGAAGCUGCUCUUGGUGUAACUGGAGCUGCUGGAUGCCUGAGAGACUCCCAAAUUAAAGUGAGCUCAAGUUCCUGGGUGUGCACAAGAAGCUGGGAGGGGACACAGCCAGGACAGCUGACCCCAGAGAGAAAUUAAGAACUGCUAAAAUUAUCAAAUUAGCAUGUAACAAGAAUGAAGAAAGAAGCUCUACAGCCUUUGUAUGAAUGAGAAGGAAGUCAAAGGAAGGAGAAAGCAUACUCCAGCCUGAUGAAAGCUUUUAAGUUUGACCUUAAAACUGUGCAAAACUUCACAGCUCUUUACAGAGAAGUGAGAUAAAAUUCUCCAUCAGUUUGUAAAAUUGCACCUUUCUUUAUUGAUGGCUGGUUUAAUAAGUAAGGUGCUGUAGAUGUCACUUACUCUGAUCUUAUUCCAACCUACUCUGACCUUAGGGUGAAAAGGAAAAAAAGACUGGAAGAAGGAUCUGUGGAGGAGGCUGAAGUGAUGAAUGCUGUGAAGAUGGAUGUCAAAUAGACUGCAUGAGGAGUGCCUGUUUCCCUGCUAGCUCCAUGGAAUGUGAACACACUGAGAGGAAGCAGAUCAUCACUCUCGAGGGCUGUGUACACCAAAGCAGCAAGCCAGGUGCUGCAAAAUGGAAGAGAGAUUAGAACUGCAGCAUAUCACCUUUCAGAUGGCCUCUGCACAAAGCUGGCUGGCAGCAGAUCUCAUCAGCUGAUCCAUGAAGCUGCUCUGAUGCCUCACACAUGCACUUACAGGGUGAGGCAGGAGGAAGGAGCUUUUGGAUCUCUUAGGAGACUGUUUACUAGCAAGCACUAACCCUGUUUGACAUCUUUUCUGGAUGAAGUUUUCUUGGCUAAAUUUGUCAAUUUUUUUUUCUGCUUUGCUGUUUACAUCCACCUAAUUGUUACUGUAUAUCAGAUUUCUCUUCCUGGAAUUAGAAAUAAAAAUUAGCUUUGGGGAGAGGAAAGACUAAAGCAGCUCAUAGCAGCUUAACAUGACAGGGAUACAAGACACCUUUCCAAGUUCAUUUAUCUAUUAAAGUAAUUUCAUAGGGACCCUGUGAAUCAGAAGAACAGUGUUAAAGCUUCUAGAAGACUCAAAGUUGGGUUCUUAAACUGAAAUACAAAGUGUAAUCACUCAUGUCACAGUCAUAUUUUCUGAAAAGUCCCUUUUCCAGGAUUUCUUCUUCUGGGAAGCUGAGUAGCCUCAGAGAAAAUUGAAAACAAUAAUUAUCUCAUUUGCUUCUCCUGUGUUUUGCUGCUUUGGAAUGUGGUUGGAGAUUGUUUAUCCAACGUAUGAAUUGUUUUGACUUAAUGGCCAAUCACCAUCCAGCUGUGUUGGACUCUGGAGGGUGAGUCAUGAGAUUCAUUAGUGUUAAACCUUUAUUGAUUCUUUAUUGUUAAACCUUUGGUAAGUAUCCUUUUUCUAUUCUUUAGUAUAGUUGUAGUAUAGUAUUCUAUAAUAUAAUAUUGUAUAGUAUCACAUCGUAUAAUAUCAUAUCAUGUCAUGUCAUAUCAUAUCAUAUCAUAUCAUAUCAUAUCAUAUCAUAUCAUAUCAUAUCAUAUCAUAUCAUAUCAUAUCAUAUCAUAUCAUAUCAUAUCAAUCAUAAUAAGUUAGCCUUCUAAGAACAUGGAGUCAGAUUAAUCUUUCCUCCCUACAAUGGAGAAUCCCAGAAAAUACCACACCCUCAUGCUUAUAACAACUUUUCUUUGCACAAGGAGCAAUGAAAUAUAGAUGUAUAUAUAUCCUACACAGAAAUAUUAACAAAAAUAAUUGGAGUCAGAGGGGACAUGACAGAAUGUGUUCCCAAAAAGAUGUUUCUUUAUUGGUUCUUUAGGAUAUCUAAUGAAAGAGAAUUACCACUUAUAUUCUCCAUUUUGUUUCCAAGGGCACUUACUCUUGAGGUACAUAAUUUUUCUUUUAUUUUCACUCACUAGGUAAAAUAUGUUUAAACUGCUAAGCUUAACUUAGAGGAAUGAUAUUUUCUCUACUACAAACUAAUUCUGGGCAAUCUCUUAAAAUUAAAUUUUAAGUUACUUGCCUCUGUGUUCCAAGGCACAGUUUCCAUGUAGCCUCUCUAUUUUUGUUACAAUGCAUCCCUGUCCUAAGUGUAUACUUAUUAAUAAUGAAUUGCCAUAAUAAAUUCACUCAUUA